rnacentral:rRNA from 1 species
AUACGGAGGGCGCAAGCGUUGUUCGGAAUCAUUGGGCGUAAAGCGCGCGUAGGCGGCUUGGCAAGUCGGGUGUGAAAUCCCGGGGCUCAACCCCGGAACUGCAUUCGAAACUGCCUCGCUAGAGUCCCGGAGAGGAAGGCGGAAUUCCCGGUGUAGAGGUGAAAUUCGUAGAUAUCGGGAGGAACACCAGUGGCGAAGGCGGCCUUCUGGACGGUGACUGACGCUGAGACGCGAAAGCGUGGGGAGCAAACAGGAUUAGAAACCCCAGUAGUCC